AACAAAGAGAUGGCCUCGGCAGUGAAUAGCUCAGCCGAGAAGAUGAAGAACGAGAUGGCCAUGACAGUAAAUAGCUCCACUGAGGAGAUGAAAAGAGAGACAACUUCAAUAAAGAGCUCAGCGGAGAAGAUGAACAAAGAGACAGCCUUGAAAAUAAAUAACUCAGCUGAGAAGAUGAAGAAAGAAACAUCAUUAAAUAGCUCAGCUGAGAAGAUGAGACAAGAGACAGCUGCAGAAAAUGGUUCAGCUGAAAAGAUGAAGAAAGAGACAGCCUUGACAGUAAAUAUCUCAGCUGAGAAGAUGAACAAAGAGACAGCCUUGACAAUAAAUAACUCAGCUGAGAAGAUGAACAAAGAGAUGGCCAGGACAGUGAAUAGCUCAGCUGAGAAGAU
rnacentral:lncRNA from 1 species